CAGUAACGGCGAGUGAAGCGGCAACAGCUCAAAUUUGAAAUCUGGCCUCGGCCCGAGUUGUAAUUUGGAGAGGAUGCUUUGGGCGCGACGCCUUCCAAGUCCCCUGGAACGGGGCGCCGGAGAGGGUGAGAGCCCCGUACGGUUGGACGUCAAGCCUGUGUAAAGCUCCUUCGACGAGUCGAGUAGUUUGGGAAUGCUGCUCUAAACGGGAGGUGGACCCCUUCUAAAGCUAAAUACCGGCUGGAGACCGAUAGCGCACAAGUAGAGUGAUCGAAAGAUGAAAAGAACUUUGAAAAGAGGGUUAAACAGUACGUGAAAUUGUUGAAAGGGAAGCGCUUGUGACCAGACUUGCGCCGGGGUGAUCAUCGGGCGUUCUCGCCCGUGCACUCGCCCCGGCUCAGGCCAGCGUCGGUUCGGGAGGGGGGACAAAGGCGCCGGGAAUGUGGCUCUUCGGAGUGUUAUAGCCCGGCGUGCCAUGCUCCCACCCGGACCGUGGCUCGCGCUCUGCAAGGACGCUGGCGUAAUGGUCAUCAGCGGCCCGUCUUGAAACACGGACCAAGGAGUCGAGGUUCUGCGCGAGUGUAUGGGUGACAAACCCGCACGCGCAAUGAAAGUGAACGUAGGUGGGAGCCUCGGCGCACCACCGACCGAUCCUGAUGUUCUCGGAUGGAUUUGAGUACGAGCGCAGGGCCUCGGACCCGAAAGAUGGUGAACUAUGCUUGGAUAGGGUGAAGCCAGAGGAAACUCUGGUGGAGGCUCGCAGCGGUUCUGACGUGCAAAUCGAUCGUCAAAUCUGAGCAUGGGGGCGAAAGACUAAUCGAACCA
rnacentral:rRNA from 1 species